rnacentral:rRNA from 1 species
ACGGGUGAGUAACACGUGGGUGAUCUGCCCUGCACUUUGGGAUAAGCCUGGGAAACUGGGUCUAAUACCGAAUAUUCCUUGCUGGUCGCAUGGCCUGGUGGGGGAAAGCUUUUGCGGUGUGGGAUGGGCCCGCGGCCUAUCAGCUUGUUGGUGGGGUGAUGGCCUACCAAGGCGACGACGGGUAGCCGGCCUGAGAGGGUGUCCGGCCACACUGGGACUGAGAUACGGCCCAGACUCCUACGGGAGGCAGCAGUGGGGAAUAUUGCACAAUGGGCGCAAGCCUGAUGCAGCGACGCCGCGUGAGGGAUGACGGCCUUCGGGUUGUAAACCUCUUUCAGUACAGACGAAGCGUAAGUGACGGUAUGUACAGAAGAAGCACCGGCCAACUACGUGCCAGCAGCCGCGGUAAUACGUAGGGUGCGAGCGUUGUCCGGAAUUACUGGGCGUAAAGAGCUCGUAGGUGGUUUGUCGCGUUGUUCGUGAAAACCGGGGGCUUAACCCUCGGCGUGCGGGCGAUACGGGCAGACUUGAGUACUGCAGGGGAGACUGGAAUUCCUGGUGUAGCGGUGGAAUGCGCAGA